rnacentral:misc_RNA from 1 species
GAUGAAGAACGUAGCGAAAUGCGAUACUUGGUGUGAAUUGCAGAAUCCCGUGAACCAUCGAGUCUUUGAACGCAAGUUGUGCCCGAAGCCACUAGGCCGAGGGCACGCCUGCCUGGGUGUCACACGUCGUUGCCCCCCCCCCAUCUACUCCUUCGGGAUUGCGGGGGGCGGAUGAUGGCCUCCCGUGCGCCUAGCCCCGCGGUUGGCAUAAAUACCAAGUCCUCGGCGACGCACGCCACGACAAUCGGUGGUUGCGAAACCUCGGUUGCCCGUCGUGUGCGUUCGUCGCGCAUCGAGGGCUCGAAAAAAUGCUCGGCUCCGGCUCGGCUUUCAACGCGACCCCAGGUCAGGCGGGGUUACCCGCUGAAUUUAAGCAUAUCAAUAAGCGGAGGA